rnacentral:rRNA from 1 species
GACGAACGCUAGCGGCGGGCUUAACACAUGCAAGUCGAACGGCAGGAGCCUACUAAUAUGGGGUGCGAGCGGCGCAAACGGGUGAGAAACACGUGUAAAACGUGCCCAUGACUUGGGGAUAACUUCAAGAAACUGGGGAAAAUACCGGAUAAGAGCGACUGCUGCCAGGUGGGGGUUGGAGCUUUUCGGCGGUAGGAGAUGGACUCGCGGCUUAUCAGCGUGUUGGUGGGGUAGUGGCUUAACAGGGCUUUGACGGGUAGCAGGCCUGAGAGGGUGACCGGCCACAUUGGGACUGAGAUACGGCCCAGACUCCUACGGGAGGCAGCAGUGUGGAAGAUUGCACGAUGGGCGGAUGCCGGAUGCAGCAACGCCGCGUGCGGGAUGACGGCCUUCUGGUUGUAAGCCGCUUUCGCCUGUUACGAAGCGUGGGUGACGGUAAUGGGUAAAGAAGCACCGGCUAACUACGUG